AACGAACGCUGGCGGCAUGCCUAAUACAUGCAAGUCGAACGAGAUCUUCGGAUCUAGUGGCGCACGGGUGCGUAACGCGUGGGAAUCUGCCCUUGGGUUCGGAAUAACAGUUGGAAACGACUGCUAAUACCGGAUGAUGACGUAAGUCCAAAGAUUUAUCGCCCAAGGAUGAGCCCGCGUAGGAUUAGCUAGUUGGUGAGGUAAAGGCUCACCAAGGCUACGAUCCUUACCUGGUCUGAGAGGAUGAUCACCCACUCUGGGACUGAGACACGGCCCAGACUCCUACGGGAGGCAGCAGUAGGGAAUAUUGGACAAUGGGCGAAAGCCUGAUCCAGCAAUGCCGCGUGAGUGAUGAAGGCCUUAGGGUUGUAAAGCUCUUUUACCCGGGAUGAUAAUGACAGUACCGGGAGAAUAAGCCCCGGCUAACUCCGUGCCAGCAGCCGCGGUAAUACGGAGGGGGCUAGCGUUGUUCGGAAUUACUGGGCGUAAAGCGCACGUAGGCGGCGAUUUAAGUCAGAGGUGAAAGCCCGGGGCUCAACCCCGGAAUAGCCUUUGAGACUGGAUUGCUUGAACAUCGGAGAGGUGAGUGGAAUUCCGAGUGUAGAGGUGAAAUUCGUAGAUAUUCGGAAGAACACCAGUGGCGAAGGCGGCUCACUGGACGAUUGUGACGCUGAG
rnacentral:rRNA from 1 species